rnacentral:rRNA from 1 species
UACGUAGGUGGCGAGCGUUGUCCGGAUUUACUGGGCGUAAAGCGCGCGCAGGCGGACUGAUCAGUCUGGGGUGAAAUCUCACGGCUCAACUGUGAGCGGUCCCUGGAUACUGUCAGUCUUGAGAUGUCUAGAGGAGAGCGGAAUUCCGGGUGUAGCGGUGGAAUGCGUAGAGAUCCGGAAGAACACCGGUGGCGAAGGCGGCCUGCUGGGCAGUUGCUGAUACUGAGGCGCGACAGCGUGGGGAGCAAACAGG